rnacentral:tRNA from 1 species
GGAGUGUAGCUCAGUGGUAGAGUGUGUGUUUAGCAUGCUUAAGGCCCUGGGUUCAAUUCCCAAUAUCA